AUUAAAAACUGUUUUUCAUGUUAAUCGAUUAAAGCUUCUCUUAGUCGAUUAACUGGCAUAUUUUCAGUUAUGAUGUUAAUUGGUACUCUACCUAUAUGUUAUGCUUAUCAACUAUACAUGUUUUACCUUUAUGUUAUGUCUAAAAUGUACAAAUAACAUGUAUGAUUAAUGCAUGAAUAUAUAAUAAACUAUAUGGCAUGUCUUAUGUAAGCAUAAGUUCACUCUUGACAUAGGCAAGCAUAAGUGCACUCUUGAUACAUUGCACUUUUAGGGAAAAUCGUUCGUCUGACUUGGGUAUAGGGGUGAAAGACUAAUCGAACCGUCUAGUAGUUGAUUCCCUCUGAAGUUUCCCUCAAGAUAGUUGGAGCCCGCGGGCGAGUUCUAUUGGGUAAAGCCAAUGGUUAGCCGCAUCGGGGGCGCAACACCCUCGAUCUAUUCUCAAACUUUAAAUAGGUAGGACGGCGUGGCUGCUUUGUAGAGCCACGCCACAAAAUCAAGAGCUCCAAGUGGGCCAUUUUUGGUAAGCAAAACUGGCGAUACGGGAUGAACCAGAAGCUGGGUUACGGUGCCCAACUGCGCGCUAACCUAGACCGCACAAAGGGUGUUGGUUGAUUAAGACAGCAGGACGGUGGUCAUGGAAGUCGAAAUCCGGUAAGGAGUGUGUAACAACUCACCUGCUGAAUCAACUAGCCCCAGAAAUGGAUGGCGCUAAAGCACGCGACCUAUACCCGUCCGUCAGGGAAAGGGCUAGGCCCCGAUGAGUAGGAGGGCGCGGUGGUUGCUGCAAAACCUGGGGCAUGAGCAUGGGCGGAGUGUUCGUCGUUGUAGAUUUUGGUGAUAGUAGCAAAUAUUCAAAUGAGAACUUUGAAGGCCAAAUAGGGGAAAGGUUCCAUGUUAACGACACUUGCACAUGGGUUAGUCGAUCCUAAGGGAGUCCGGAGACGUCGAUAGGGGCCCUAGAAAGAGUUACCUUUUCUUUUUAACAACCUUCCCACCCUAGAAACAGCUCUGCCGGAGGUAGGGUCCAGCGGCUGGAAGAGCACCGCACGUCACAUGGUGUCUGGUGCGCCCCCGACGGCCCUUGAAAAUCCGGAGGACCGAGUGCCUCCCACGCAUCAGGUCUCCAAGGUGAAUAGCCUCUGGUC
rnacentral:rRNA from 1 species